rnacentral:rRNA from 1 species
UACGAAGGGGGCUAGCGUUGCUCGGAAUGACUGGGCGUAAAGGGCGCGUAGGCGGCGCAUUUGGUCAGGCGUGAAAGUCCUGGGCUCAACCUGGGGAUUGCGUUUGAUACGGGUGUGCUUGAGUGAGGAAGAGGGUCGUGGAAUUCCCAGUGUAGAGGUGAAAUUCGUAGAUAUUGGGAAGAACACCGGCGGCGAAGGCGGCGACCUGGUCCUUUACUGACGCUGAGGCGCGAAAGCGUGGGGAGCAAACAGGAUUAGAUACCCCGGUAGUCCACGCCGUAAACGUUGUGCACUAGGUGUGGGAGGUAUCGACCCCUUCCGUGCCGAAGCUAACGCAUUAAGUGCACCGCCUGGGGAGUACGGUCGCAAGACUGAA